rnacentral:rRNA from 1 species
GAUGAACGCUGACAGAAUGCUUAACACAUGCAAGUCAACUUGAAUUUGGGUUUUUAACUUAGGUUUGGGUGGCGGACGGGUGAGUAACGCGUAAAGAACUUGCCUCACAGCUAGGGACAACAUUUGGAAACGAAUGCUAAUACCUAAUAUUAUGAUAAUAGGGCAUCCUAUAAUUAUGAAAGCUAUAAGCGCUGUGAGAGAGCUUUGCAUCCCAUUAGCUAGUUGAAGAGGUAACGGCUCACCAAGGCGAUGAUGGGUAGCCGGCCUGAGAGGGUGAUCGGCCACAAGGGGACUGAGACACGGCCCUUACUCCUACGGGAGGCAGCAGUGGGGAAUAUUGGACAAUGGACCAAGAGUCUGAUCCAGCAAUUCUGUGUGCACGAUGAAGUUUUUCGGAAUGUAAAGUGCUUUCAGUUGGGAAGAAAGAAAUGACGGUACCAACAGAAGAAGUGACGGCUAAAUACGUGCCAGCAGCCGCGGUAAUACGUAUGUCACGAGCGUUAUCCGGAUUUAUUGGGCGUAAAGCGCGUCUAGGUGGUUAUGUAAGUCUGAUGUGAAAAUGCAGGGCUCAACUCUGUAUUGCGUUGGAAACUGUAUAACUAGAGUACUGGAGAGGUAAGCGGAACUACAAGUGUAGAGGUGAAAUUCGUAGAUAUUUGUAGGAAUACCGAUGGGGAAGCCAGCUUACUGGACAGAUACUGACGCUGAAGCGCGAAAGCGUGGGUAGCAAACAGG